UUUGUCGGAGCUCGUUGAGCACAUCUUUGUUAAUGAUGGGGUAGGAGGUUAAACCCCUCUCGAUAAAG
rnacentral:tRNA from 1 species